GUCCUGAGCAGUCCAGUCCUUGUUCGCUCAUAUCAGUCCACCUGCAAUGUGGCCUUGGUCCGUCGAUCUCCUAGUGGUCUCUGCGACAACGCCAACUGUUAUGCAGGAUUUAUUCAUU